UAGGGAAUCUUCCGCAAUGGACGCAAGUCUGACGGAGCAACGCCGCGUGAGUGAAGAAGGAUUUCGGUUCGUAAAACUCUGUUGUUAGAGAAGAACAGCGCAUAGAGUAACUGUUAUGCGUGUGACGGUAUCUAACCAGAAAGCCACGGCUAACUACGUGCCAGCAGCCGCGGUAAUACGUAGGUGGCAAGCGUUGUCCGGAUUUAUUGGGCGUAAAGCGAGCGCAGGCGGUCAAUUAAGUCUGAUGUGAAAGCCCCCGGCUCAACCGGGGGGGGUCAUUGGAAACUGGUUGGCUUGAGUGCAGCAGAGGAGAGUGGAAUUCCAGGUGUGGCGGUGAAAUGCGUAGAUAUAUGGAGGAACACCAGUGGCGAAGGCGACUCUCUGGUCUGUAACUGACGCUGGGGUUCGAAAGCGUGGGUAGCAAAAAGG
rnacentral:rRNA from 1 species